UACGUAGGGUGCGAGCGUUGUCCGGAAUUAUUGGGCGUAAAGAGCUCGUAGGCGGCUUGUCGCGUCGGAUGUGAAAGCCCGGGGCUUAACCCCGGGUCUGCAUUCGAUACGGGCAGGCUAGAGUGUGGUAGGGGAGAUCGGAAUUCCUGGUGUAGCGGUGAAAUGCGCAGAUAUCAGGAGGAACACCGAUGGCGAAGGCAGAUCUCUGGGCCGUAACUGACGCUGAGGAGCGAAAGCAUGGGGAGCGAACAGG
rnacentral:rRNA from 1 species